rnacentral:ribozyme from 14 species
UCUUACCUUCUUUUUUUUUAUUAUUCUUCUGAAUGCGACCAACAGAAAAGGAAAAGGACAGUACAAUGG